rnacentral:misc_RNA from 1 species
AUCCACCUUUCUCCCACGCAUCCCUCCGCCCUCUCUACCGCCUCCGUCAUCAUCAUUGACACCCGCUCCGCUUUUAUUCCUUUCGUUUAUUUGCAUUCGCUUCGAGCCGCCCCACGGCUCACGCAGCACACUCUCUGUUUUUGCCCCUGCUUCCCCCUUCCUCCUCCCUUAUCUCUCUCUCCCUUUCUGCACCCGUCACAUCAUCGACGGUGUGUCAGAGGUCAGAAGAGGGCACAGACACACGCGCACGCACGCACAGAGCAUAGCGUGAAACUCGCGAAGUACAUUGUUUAUCUUGCACCCUGUGCGUGUGUGCUGUGGCUGCGUAGGUGCUCGCCACACGCUCGCAUCUUCGCCUACAGCGUCUCCCUUCUUCGUUUUCUUUUUUGUUGUUGGGGUGUCUGUGUCCGUGUAUCGCUUGGCCGCCUUCCUUCUCCCGGACCUCCACCCUUUUAUACACUCCUGCACACGCAGUCACACACACACUCACACACACAAGCACGCGCGCAUCUGCUGUGUGCUGCUCAAGCUAUCUCUCCCCGUCUCUGUGUCUGUGUGUCUCUUAGUCGUUUCGCUUGCCCUUGCUGCUUCUUGUUUCCCUUCCCCUAUCUCUGCGCUUCGCAUCGCCAUCCUCCCAGCCAGCAGUGUCGCGAUCAUAUUUUGGAGGAGGAGCAUAUUUGGCUUCGAGCACUGUCCGCGCUCAUCAGUGCACGCCCAAAGGACUCACUUGCUUCCUCCCAGACUGUCGCUCGUGCAAUCAUGCUGUCCAACAACGCUAGCCCUUUCGAGGAGGAGUACCAGCGAACCGCUGCGCCUGCACCGCGGCCGCCUGCCACCGGGUCUUCAAGCGCAUCCGUCGGCGACGUAAAGGUGCCGCUCCCCCAAGCACAGAGCCCCCCGCUGCCACCACAGCCGCCCCAGCCGACGGCUGCCUACACAAGCACCGGCUGCGAUGUGACGUCUUCAGAAUCCAUUUUUUCCGCCCCACCCGCGCCGCUGUCGGCGCCGCCGGCAACGGAGAGCGAGCCCUCCAUCGCGCCACACACGCACACCCACGGCCGCGUCGUCCUCGCCCGGUUCCGGAUAGACGCCGCCUUCAAGGGCAACGAGAUGAUGCGCCCCAUCACAUACUUCCCGAUCACCACGGAAAUUCUCGCGGAGAACGACGCGAGCUUCACCGUGCCGGAUGUCCCGGCCAACGCGCCGCAUCUUGCCGGCAUCGACAUCGGCGUGCGGCGCAACGACUGGUCUCGCGGCAACUCGGCGAGCGUGGAUCGGCGGUACAGCGAGGUGGUGGAUCUGCGAGAGCUGCUCACGUACCAGUUCCCCACCCUCAUCAUGUCGCCGCUGCCGCGCAAGAGCAGCGUCAGCGACAUCGAGACUUACUUCAGCGCCUCGGACGCCUUCGCGGCGCAGCGCCAUAACCUCCAGUUCUUUCUCAACGAAAUCGCGUGCAUGCCGGAGGUUAUCUUCUUCUCCGAAUGGGUGGCACCGUUCUUCCUGGACCCGCGCGACACCUUCGAGACCGGCACGCUGUUGCGCAUGCGCGCCGCCCUGCGCGACCUCCGCCUCGCCACACACCCCUUCCGGGAGUGCAGCAAGCGGCACCGAAGCUUCACCGAGUACACCGCAAACAAGAUUGCGGCCAAGUCCAGCAGCCUUGUGCGGUCCGUGGCCGGCUUCUUUUUCAGUUCCAAGAACGACGACAGUGCAACUGACGGUCGCGGCGGCGAUGGGCACCCCAACGGCGGCGGCAGCGUGCCGGUGCCAACGUCGUCGUCGUCGUUCACGUACGACUGGACGUAUCUGCCGCCCUCGGCCAAGUCCGACGCCUGUGCGUGGGUGCGUGUGUGUGAGCAACUUGCCCGCCGCCAGCAGGCGCUGAAGGCGUCGGCGCGUUCGUUUGAAAAGUACCUGGCUGCUUUGACGCACAUGAAGGACGCGCAGCUGAAGGUGGCGCAGUCCUUCGAGAACUACGAGCACACGCUUCGGUCCAGCCCGGCGCUUGACGCUCUUGGCGGCGAGUACCACCUCGCGGUCAGCAUGAUCGACGCCGUUACGCAGAAGGAGCGCGAGUACAUAGAGCGCAAGUAUCUGAACAUGUGCUUGCGGCUGGGCUUCGAGGCAAACUUGAUCGAUGCGGUAUUGGACGCGGUGGAUGUGGUGCUGGGUCAGUACCAGUUUCUCUCCAGCGCCCAGCUCAUGAAUACGCGUGACCGCACACAUGAGGAGGCGCUGCUGUACACCCAAGCCGUGAGUCGUGCACUGCUUGCCGACUACCGUGACCGGUACAAGUUCUUCUACGAAAAGCGCAUGCGCAACUUGGUGCGGGAGCAGGUGGUCAGGCCCGCUAUCGAAUGCGCCGCCGCUGUUCAGCAGGUCAUGAAAGGCUCUGCGUUGCUGCGCGUGGUGCAAGACGCCUUUUUCACGGAAGUGAAUCCCACCGCAAGCUCGCCGGCAGCCACUGCUGCGUAGCGCGCCUCUAGUGCAGGAAGGUGGUGGAGCAGUAGACGCCAGAGGGAGAUAGAGACGCUUUACGUAGCACAUCGCCAGAUCAGCGUUACGGUCUUUGUGCACUCCCAGCGGAUCCCUCGAUCUUCUUUUUAUUUCCUCACGCACAGCAGCGGGGUCGGUGGUGGUGGUGGUCAGCCGCAUCGCGCGCUCUUCAGCGAGAGGGGCACACAGAGAAGAAACACCCUCGCGGGUCCACCCCCCUCUCUCGCGCGCUGCGAAGGUGUCAGAGGUUGUUUUGUGUUAGCGGCUUUCACGUGUGGAGUGCUCCACAGUUGCUUUUCUUCGUUUCGCUCGUUGUGCUCACGCGUAUCGGCGUCCUUUGUGUGUCUGUGCGUCGCCGUGCGGACCGGCGGCUCCGUUAGUCGUGUUGCUCAGUGAUCGCUGGUGCGUCAGUGUUGAGUGAUUGAUGCGGUGUUGGUGCUGUUACUCGGACGCUCCACCGGAGUCCGCCAUCGGUUCUCGCUUUCAGCGCUCCCGCAGUUUCCUUGCUUGUGCCGUGGCCUUCUUCGAUGCUGUGUCUGGGGGUGGGACCUGCGUGUGCUGAUGUGUGGCGUCGUCUCGCGAACCUCUUUGCCUCGGUGGUUUCUGCGACUCGCCGCUGCUGCUGCGGGUGACGUGUGCUUCGUUCAUCGCUCCGCCCAUCUCAAUCUAUGAUGCCUCUCUCCGUCCCCCUCCCUAUCAUGCUGGCUUGUGCUCGCGCCGUGUACCACCGCUAAUGGUAAGUUGGUGCUUGUGCGGUGUGUGCGGCUGUUCGUGGAUUUCACACUGGGUUGCCUCUCUUCCGUGCGUGCGGCGCCAAAAAGGCGAAGGUGGCGGCAGGAUCGGAUCUGACUCUGUCGGGAAAGCCGGUAAUGGCCCGGCCUUCUUUUGUUCUCCCAGGCGUCUUCUGUACUCCUCCUUCGAGUGUGCGGGCACUGCGAAAUGCGCCUCGCCUUUUCUUCGCCUCUUCCUGUUGUUCCUCCGGCUUGUUGGUUCUCUUCCCGUUGUUGUUGAUAAGGCUACUCCCUCUUCCCACCACCACCACCAUCACCGCACUACUUUGCCUCUCGCUCCUCUCGAGCGUAUAUUCCGGUGUGUCGGUGCAGGCGCGCGUAUGCUCGUGUAUUUCCUGUGCGCUUCCUUUCUCUGUGUCGUUCGUUUUCAUUUUCUGACCUCAACGGAGAGAGCGAAACAACAAGCCUGGAGCACACUCGCAAGUGUGUACGUGGUUGUGCGUGGGGCAACACUCG